UAUACAGGGGGUACCGGUACAGAGUCAAUGUGGAGGCUAUAUACAGGGGGUACCGGUACAGAGUCAAUGUGGAGGCUAUAUACAGGGGGUACCGGUACAGAGUCAAUGUGGAGGCUAUAUACAGGGUAUUACGGUACAGAGUCAAUGUGGAGGCUAUAUACAGGGGGUACCGGUACAGAGUCAAUGUGGAGGCUAUAUACAGGGGGUACCGGUACAGAGUCAAUGUGGAGGCUAUAUACAGGGGGUACUGGUACCGAGUCAAUGUGGAGGCUAUAUACAGGGGGUACCGGUACAGAGUCAAUGGGGAGGCUAUAUACAGGGGGGUACCGGUACCGAGUCAAUGUGGAGGCUAUAUACAGGGGGUACCGGUACAGAGUCAAUGUGGAGGCUAUAUACAGGGGGUACCGGUACAGAGUCAAUGUGGAGGCUAUAUACAGGGGGUACCGGUACAGAGUCAAUGUGGAGGCUAUAUACAGGGGGUACCGGUACCGAGUCAAUGUGGAGGCUAUAUACAGGGGGUACCGGUACAGAGUCAAUGUGGAGGCUAUAUACAG
rnacentral:lncRNA from 1 species